UAGUGGAACGGUCUGGAAAGUCCGACGGUACAGGGUGAUAGUCCCGUACACCAAAAUGCACAGGUUGUGAACUCGAAGAGUAGGGCGGGACACGUGGUAUCCUGUCUGAAUAUGGGGGGACCAUCCUCCAAGGCUAAAUACUCCUGACUGACCGAUAGUGAACCAGUACCGUGAGGGAAAGGCGAAAAGAACCCCGGCGAGGGGAGUGAAAAAGAACCUGAAACCGUGUACGUACAAGCAGUGGGAGCACCUUCGGGUGUGACUGCGUACCUUUUGUAUAAUGGGUCAGCGACUUAUAUUCUGUAGCAAGGUUAACCGUAUAGGGGAGCCGCAGGGAAACCGAGUCUUAACUGGGCGUUAAGUUGCAGGGUAUAGACCCGAAACCCGGUGAUCUAGCCAUGGGCAGGUUGAAGGUUGGGUAACACUAACUGGAGGACCGAACCGACUAAUGUUGAAAAAUUAGCGGAUGACUUGUGGCUGGGGGUGAAAGGCCAAUCAAACCGGGAGAUAGCUGGUUCUCCCCGAAAGCUAUUUAGGUAGCGCCUCGUGAACUCAUCUUCGGGGGUAGAGCACUGUUUCGGCUAGGGGGUCAUCCCGACUUACCAACCCGAUGCAAACUACGAAUACCGAAGAAUGUUAUCACGGGAGACACACGGCGGGUGCUAACGUCCGUCGUGAAGAGGGAAACAACCCAGACCGCCAGCUAAGGUCCCAAAGUCAUGGUUAAGUGGGAAACGAUGUGGGAAGGCACAGACAGCCAGGAUGUUGGCUUAGAAGCAGCCAUCAUUUAAAGAAAGCGUAAUAGCUCACUGGUCGAGUCGGCCUGCGCGGAAGAUGUAACGGGGCUAAACCAUGCA
rnacentral:rRNA from 1 species